CUUUGCUGUAAGUUCUUUUGGAAAACCGUCGUAAUUCGUCAGUCCUCUGAAGGUUUCAAAGCCUGUUCCCUGGCCGCAGCCUGGGCCUGCAUGAGGAGUUCAGCCUGGUGGAGGUGCUGAAGGCCGUCAUGAUGCAGUGUGGACUUGGGCCGUAAGAUGAGCGAGUUGGAGAAAAAGCUGAAGUGCCUGCAGAUGCAGCGCAAACUUGUACAAGUAGAGCAAGGUGGCAAAAACGAAGAUGAAAAUCCACAAACUGAGCACCAUCAAACCAUCGGAAUUGUGAGGAUCUGACCAGCCCCGAGGUGGACCGUGUCAUCGUCCAGCGACUGAGGGUUGAUGAAGUCAUUGACCUCCUUUACGGCAAGCUGAUGACCUGUUGAUCAUCAAGGGAAUGCGAGACACUUUUCUCUCAUGAGUCCGUCGCAAGCCUCUCCCCAGCAGGGCGCACUAAAUCCUCCAACGUCUCCUGAGUCGUUUCGUCCAAGACACCCAACUAGACACCAAAACGGCCCCGCUGAUGGCGAUCCAUGAUGUCCAAUGCAUCAAUGAUGACUCCAGUGCUUACUUACGCUUCUUCGGCGGCUACUCUUUGUUCUAGGCAUGGGAGAGCUCGGGAAGGGGGCGGAGUUUGAGGCUCUGGAAGGGAGGGAGAUCUUGAACAGUCUGCUGUGUAUCGACGUCAAGCUUGAUGGGCUGGAGUCUAGCAACAUGGAACCAUUGCUGUGCCAGUUGCUGGAAAGGGCAAACAUGCCCAGAGAACUCAACAAAUUGAUGAGAAUGAGGUUGAUCACAUUGUCAACAAGGAGUGUGAAAAACUGGACAAGAGACUUGGAGAGGGGGCCAAGGUGAGCUUGCCGACACCCAAGAUUUGCAGAGGGCAGAACUGGACUUGGCUGUUUUGGGCAGAGAUGUAACCAGAUCAGUCACGUUGAAUAGAUUUGAGACUGAAUGACUCUUAGUUAACUUGUGAUGACUUGUGACUGAUUUUGUAAACAGUUUGGCUUAAGGCUCGACUAGGUAGUCUUGUAUUUUCCAGUUAAACAUUUAUUUGUGGUAAUU